rnacentral:sRNA from 1 species
UGAAUGCGUUCCUUAUGUCUAAGGACACC